rnacentral:rRNA from 1 species
AACCUACGGGGGGCAGCAGUGGGGGAUAUUGGACAAUGGGGGGAACCCUGAUCCAGCGACGCCGCGUGAGUGAAGAAGUAUUUCGGUAUGUAAAGCUCUGUCAGCAGGGAAGAAAGAAAUGACGGUACCUGACCAAGAAGCCCCGGCUAACUACGUGCCAGCAGCCGCGGUAAUACGUAGGGGGCAAGCGUUAUCCGGAUUUACUGGGUGUAGAGGGAGCGUAGACGGCAGUGCAAGUCCGGAGUGAAAGCCCGGGGCUCAACCUUGGGACUGCUCUGGAAACCGGAUGGCUGGAG